rnacentral:rRNA from 1 species
GACGAACGCUGGCGGCGUGCUUAACACAUGCAAGUCGAACGGAAAGGCCCUGCUUUUGUGGGGUGCUCGAGUGGCGAACGGGUGAGUAACACGUGAGUAACCUGCCCUUGACUUUGGGAUAACUUCAGGAAACUGGGGCUAAUACCGGAUAGGAGCUCCUGCUGCAUGGUGGGGGUUGGAAAGUUUCGGCGGUUGGGGAUGGACUCGCGGCUUAUCAGCUUGUUGGUGGGGUAGUGGCUUACCAAGGCUUUGACGGGUAGCCGUCCUGAGAGGGUGACCGGCCACAUUGGGACUGAGAUACGGCCCAGACUCCUACGGGAGGCAGCAGUGGGGAAUAGUGCACAAUGGGCUGAAGCCUGAUGCAGCAACGCCGCGUGCGGGAUGACGGCCUUCUGGUUGUAAACCGCUUUCGCCUGUGACGAAGCGUGAGUGACGAUAAUGGGUAAAGAAGCACCGGCUAACUACGUG